CCCAAGUUCUGGGGUAAGGCUGAAAAGGUGAGGUAAGAGCUCACCAGCAGUUAGGUGACUAACUGGCUAGGUAAACCCCACUCGGAGCAAGGUCAAAUAGGGAAGAAGAGGUUGCCCGCCUCGUUAGACUUCCGGGUUGACCGCAUGAGGCUUUAGGCAACUAAAGUCCUAGAUAGAUGAUCAUCCUCGACAGAACUCGGCUUACCGGUUCACUCAGAUG
rnacentral:RNase_P_RNA from 1 species